UUUACUUAAACUUAUUUCUUGUAACAUGUUUGCACUUUUGGAUACUACACUUAUUCAUCCUGCCAACGUACUUGUUGAAGUUACAAAACAAGAUAUGAGUGUUUUAUAGCUAAUUCAAUCAGUUGUUUAACGUUCAUACAUAUAUAAGCACUAUAUAUAAUUUGAACAUCACAUGUUUAUGAGAAUAAAUGCUAGAUAUGUACCAAGUAAACCUGGGAGGAAAAGUGUGCCCGGUAAGGGCUCCAACCCACGACCACCGGAACAAUAACAAGGCGCUCUAACCAACAGUCUAGCCGGUCGGCUAGUUCCUACCCAAAAACACUACAGUACAUAGGGGCUUUAAAAAUAAUUAAUGCAAUAGGAUGAAAUGAAAGCCAGGUGUAGAGACCUUGAUCGUAUAUGUUGAAAUUGUUUGGUAUGCCUUUUAAAUCAAAUGCCUGUGUAGAAUAACCCCAACAAAUGCCUUUUUAAGUUAAUUUGUUUCCAUCUUCAGAAUGCAGCUACGACAUACGAAUGUGCUUAUCAAAGCCCCUUCGUAAAGAAGUCGUGAGUUCCAAUACCUAAAUGAUACAAUAAUGUUUAUUACUCAUAUUUGAAUAUCAUAAAUAUUAACAUUAAAUGGCAUUAUAACAAAAAUCAUUAACAAAAUUUAAGAAAUGUAGGAACAGAAUAAGUGUAAUUUAAAGUGUAUAAUUAUUCAUGUAAAAUAAAUUCGUAUUGCACAAGGUUAAUAUAGGACUGUCAACAGUCAUAUAAUUUAUUAUCACAGAUGUUUAGCCCCUUUUUACAGAAACAUUUGAAAACUAGCUUUUACUAAAACUUGUAUAUAAAAUAUAUAUAAUUUGCAUAUAUAUAUAUAUAUUAUUUUUAUUCAUAGGGAAGUUGUAUAUUUCCAGUGAGGUCUUGUUAAUGUGUUCUGUUAUAGCUGAUAUAAAUUCAACAUGUUUCAUUGUAAACCAUCUCAUUGGGGGAAAUGAUAAAUUUGCAGACGCAGUGUCAGUUACAUAGCUGAAGGUGAACGGAUGAGUGUCAUAAACAACCUUGUCAGUGGAAGUGGAAAAGAAAAUGUCAGCAUACCUGGUGGACAUAAAAGAAAAUCUUACGAAACGGCCAGAUAUCAUCAACAAAGAUGACAACAGAAGACAUCAACAAGAUGCAGUACAGCUUUUUCCAAAAACAGAAUAAACUGGCAGAUGUCCAGAUCCGAAGCUUCACAGCAAUGGAGACAUUCUUCAAAUGAGCAGCUGAAAAAAUGCAAGAGAAGGAUCAAUCCUUCAGCCAAA